UUCGGUUUGUAUUUUACAAACAGAUUUUGCUUCCUCUUUCAUGUGUGUGGUCUGACGUUGGUGGCUUUCAUUUUGUUGUUGCUGUUGGUGAUUAGAACCAUUUGAUUUCUGCUAUCAUGUCUGGUGUAUCUGGUGUCACAUGCAACUUGAGAUUUCCAGGCCAGCUUAACUCUGACCUAAGAAAGCUCGCUGUGAAUCUCAUACCCUUUCCCUGGCUCCAUUUCUUCAAGGUGGGAUUUGCUCCUAUCACCUCCCAUGGCUUCCAGCAAUGCAGAGCCCUAACUGUGCUAUGCAAUGCAAAGAACUUAAUGUGAGUAGUGGAUCCACGCCAUGGCCGUUACUUG
rnacentral:misc_RNA from 1 species